rnacentral:rRNA from 1 species
CUCAGGAUGAACGCUAGCGGCAGGCUUAAUACAUGCAAGUCGUGGGGCAGCAGGUUUGUAGCAAUACAGAUGCUGGCGACCGGCAAACGGGUGCGGAACACGUACAGAACCUUCCUUUGAGCGGGGAAUAGCCCAGAGAAAUUUGGAUUAAUACCCCAUAGUAUAAUGAAGUGGCAUCACUUUAUUAUUAAAGAUUUAUCACUCGAAGAUGGCUGUGCGGCUGAUUAGGUAGUUGGCGGGGUAAAGGCCCACCAAGCCUGCGAUCAGUAACUGGUGUGAGAGCAUGACCAGUCACACGGGCACUGAGACACGGGCCCGACUCCUACGGGAGGCAGCAGUAAGGAAUAUUGGUCAAUGGAGGCAACUCUGAACCAGCCAUGCCGCGUGGAGGAUGAAGGUCCUCUGGAUUGUAAACUUCUUUUAUAUGGGACGAAAAAGGCUUUUCUAAGUCGUCUGACGGUACCAUAUGAAUAAGCACCGGCUAACUCCGUGA